GAGAGUUAAACAGUACGUGAAAUUGUUGAAAGGGAAACGAUUAAAGUCAGUCGUACCUACGAGUAAUCAACCUACACGAGCGCGAUUUUGUGGGUAUGAAGAGGUAAAACCUUCAUGCUUUCAAAUUGGUGUUCUUUGGGCGUACUUCCUCGUAUGGUAGGUUAACAUCAAUUUCGAUCGUUAUAAAAUGACGGGAGGAAUGUAGCUUCGACUUCGGUUGAAGUGUUAUAGCCUCUGGUAGAUGUAAUGAUUGGGAUUGAGGAUUGCAACGGAUACCCUCUGGGCUAUUCGUCUGAUCUCUGGAAGUUACCUUGGUGUCGAAAGCGUGCUUAUGACAUUAAGAAUGACGGCCAAAAGGUUAGAACGGAAUUAAAUUCGUUAAGGAUGUUGACGUAAUGGCUUUAAACGA
rnacentral:rRNA from 1 species